rnacentral:rRNA from 1 species
UACGUAGGGGGCUAGCGUUGUCCGGAAUCAUUGGGCGUAAAGAGCGUGUAGGCGGCCCGGUAAGUCCGCUGUGAAAGUCGGGGGGCUCAACCCUCGAAUGCCGGUGGAUACUGUCGGGCUAGAGUGCGGAAGAGGCGAGUGGAAUUCCUGGUGUAGCGGUGAAAUGCGCAGAUAUCAGGAGGAACACCAAUGGCGAAGGCAGCACUCUGGGACGUGACUGACGCUGAGACGCGAAAGCGUGGGGAGCAAACAGG